rnacentral:lncRNA from 1 species
GCAGUUGUUUGGGCUGUCGCUGUGGCUGGUUCUGCGGUGUGCGGCCAGCCAUGGAGCGCUCUGGGCCCAGCGAAGUGACAGGCUCAGACGCAUCGGGACCGGACCCGCAGCUUGUGGUCACCAUGGGCUUCACGGGGUUCGGGGUUCGGUAAAAAAGCUCACACAUUUGACUUGGAAGCAAUGUUUGAACAAACUCAAAGAACAGCUGUGGAAAGAAGUCACAAAACACUGGUUCAACCCAAUGGAAAUGGAUUGAAAGAGUGAAAGUCACUGGUCUCAAAGAAUCUACGGAAUUUAGCAUUUUGAAAAUCACAGAGCAAUUUUGGGUAGGUAUUCACAUGCACUAAAAAACCAGGCAAACAUCUGACUCCCAGGAUAAAGUGACUGAGAGCAGUAGAAGACUUGUUGAGCCUUAAGGAAUAAGAGGAAAAUUAUGUUAUGAAGUGCAGGAACAGCACAGACCCAGACGAGGGGAUGCAGCCCGGAGCCAGUAACCCGGCGCCUCCUCCUCCCCAGGGCGCAGCGCUGGCUGCUCCCCGGAUACCGUGAUCACACGUCCCAGGUCCUGAGAGCGCCUCAUAGGUAGACAGUUCUUUGGGACUUUUGGGACGCAGCACUUGAAGAGAGGUUUACCUAAACUUUCCUCCUGGGAGCCUGUCAUCAUUUGAAAGUAACAGAAGAAAGCUGUCAGGCUGAGGAAAGUUUCAACAGGCACUUGGUGAGAAUGGGAAGCAUCCAUUCAUUGGGAAAUCACGGGGACAGAGGAGGAAUUCACGGGAUCAGAGCACUGAGAAACUCCAGAGGCUUCUGGUUCACCGCCCUGAUUCCACAGAUGUGGGUCAGAGGCAGAGAUGGAAGUUGGAAUGGACAAGCCUGCCCUCUCCUCAGCUCUCCAUGGCUCUGUCCUCAGGCUGUUUCUGCAAUUUGACAUGAGGCCUGGCCCCAGGGAAACCAGUGGGGCCUCAUCUCCUCCCUGUGCUGCUCUGAGGUGGAGCCUUCUCAGGGUCAGUCCAGCUCUGGAGCCCCUCUCCAGCUCGGUCACCAAAG